CCUACGGGUGGCAGCAGUGAGGAAUAUUGGUCAAUGGACGAGAGUCUGAACCAGCCAAGUAGCGUGAAGGCUGACUGCCCUAUGGGUUGUAAACUUCUUUUAUAAAGGAAUAAAACGAGGCACGUGUGCCUUUUUGCAUGUACUUUAUGAAUAAGGAUCGGCUAACUCCGUGCCAGCAGCCGCGGUAAUACGGAGGAUCCGAGCGUUAUCCGGAUUUAUUGGGUUUAAAGGGAGCGUAGAUGGGUUGUUAAGUCAGUUGUGAAAGUUUGCGGCUCAACCGUAAAAUUGCAAUUGAUACUGGCAGUCGUGAGUACAGUUGAGGUAGGCGGAAUUCGUGGUGUAGCGGUGAAAUGCUUAGAUAUCACGAAGAACCCCGAUUGCGAAGGCAGCUUACUAAACUGUGACUGACAUUGAUGCUCGAAAGUGUGGGUAUCAAACAGGAUUAGAUACCCUAGUAGUC
rnacentral:rRNA from 1 species